GACGAACGCUGGCGGCGUGCUUAACACAUGCAAGUCGUACGGUAAGGCCCUUUCGGGGGUACACGAGUGGCGAACGGGUGAGUAACACGUGAGUAACCUGCCCACAACUUUGGGAUAACGCUUGGAAACUGGUGCUAAUACUGGAUAUGUGCUCCUGCUGCAUGGUGGGGGUUGGAAAGCUCCGGCGGUUGUGGAUGGACUCGCGGCCUAUCAGCUUGUUGGUGGGGUAGUGGCCUACCAAGGCGGCGACGGGUAGCCGGCCUGAGAGGGUGACCGGCCACAUUGGGACUGAGAUACGGCCCAGACUCCUACGGGAGGCAGCAGUGGGGAAUAUUGCACAAUGGGCGCAAGCCUGAUGCAGCAACGCCGCGUGCGGGAUGACGGCCUUCGGGUUGGAAACCGCUUUCAGCAGGGACGAAGCUUUUUGUGACGGUACCUGCAGAAGAAGCACCGGCUAACUACGUG
rnacentral:rRNA from 1 species